UUUCUACUUAUGGACAAGAAGUUUUCUAUAAAUCAGAUACCUAAAAUUGGUGAUUGAAAACAUCCAAUUCAUUUCUUGAUUAGAUUGUUGGGUCCAUCACCUUCUGGCAAGUGCAGUUUAAUAGCUAGGUUCACAUUUUUUAUGCUAGCCAUGUAUUUAAGAAAAAUUUUGGAGGACAUUGUACAUUUCAUUCUCAUUAAUUACAGGAAUAUAUAUCAGACCCAGAUGUGGAAAAGAAGCACAUUAUUAUUUUACCUGACUAUAGUACAAGGACACAAAAAACUUCUGAAAAUCCAAAUAUUCCAAAUCAGCUCCAAGCUCCGGAUACAUCAGACAAAGGUGCUGUAAGAAAAGGAAAGGAUAAAGAAGAAGAUAGCGAUUCUCCUUGGGAUUCAGAGGAAUAUAUAUCAGACCCAGAUGUGGAAAAAAAGCACAUUAUUAUUUUACCUGACUACAGUACAAGGACACAAAAUACUUCUGAAAAUCCAAAUAUUCCAAAUCAGCUCCAAGCUCCGGAUACAUCAGACAAAGGUGCUGUAAGAAAAGGAAAGGAUAAAGAAGAAGAUAGCGAUUCUCCUUGGGAUUCAGAGGUAUUAAUUCAUUUUGAAACUUCAAUCUUGAUUGUUUUUUUUUAAAUUACAUUUACGUUUAGUUAUUUACUAAUCAGUGCAAUUGCUCGGGUGGAAUUAGAAGGGGACUUUUCAAACUAGAAAGAUUUUGGAAAUAAUCUAGUACAACUGCCUUUUUAACAAGUCAGCUUAUGGUCGAACCAAGAAGACAAUUCAAUGGUCCUAACUUUCAGGACCUCAUGGUUUCCACUCUCCUCCUGAACACCUUAGCAAUUUCAAAGUUCCUCCCAGUCUGUUAUUCAAUGAACAAGUUUGAUAACAUUUUAUGCUCUUCUGAGUAUUAGGCUAUAUUCCAGAAAAGUAAGAGACUUUGGAGAAAUAGAAGCCUACUUCCCUACUCCAAUAUCAACUUACCUACAUAUUAAAGGAUAGGACAAAGGCAUCUAUGUUAGCUGAUGCUAUGGCCAAUUGCUAAGUAAAUUUCUGGAUAGCUUCUAUACACAAAGGUUUUGGCCCAUAC